rnacentral:misc_RNA from 1 species
UGAAUAACUACAACUGGAUAAGAUCCUUGAAACAAUAAGUACCAACAAGGAACCAACCAACAAGAACAACAGCAAAAGCAAUCCAGCCAAACAGGAUUAUCGACCCACCAAAUACAAGAGCUAUGCAGAGUAGCACAGCAAAAGGCAGCAAAGACUUCACCAUAGCCGUUUUGUUCACCCAAGUACCUCUCAACAACAUCAGAACAGCCAAGUU